rnacentral:tRNA from 1 species
AGUCGUAGUGGCUGAGUGGUAAGGCGUAGGUCGGCAAAACCUUCUACAGCGGUUCGAAUCCGCUCACGACAC